rfam:Rhodobacteraceae bacterium PD-2 genomic scaffold scaffold6, whole genome shotgun sequence.
AAACCGUCACAACGGCUUCCUGGCGUGGCGGAUAAACCCGAAUGGAGCG